GGCCGUUGAUAGAGUAGAGGAAGAAGAGUAGUUUAUCGUCAGCAGUCUCGACAGAGAUGAAGCGGUACAGGCAGAUGGUAGCUACCUCCUCAUUUCCUUUCUGCAGAAAACAAUAGUUUUGGUUUCUAAUCUACAGCAUUCCCUUCAAUGGGUAUUUGGCUAUUUGUAUAUGCAUGAUUCCUCUUGAAAGAGUCAAUUGAAGUGAUCAUAAAAGUAAGGCUACAGUAUGAUGUUUGCAUCUGCUUUAGUAUUUUGCACCAAAUAAAACACUGGAACUUUCCAUAUUAAGAAGUUUAGCUGCUCUAUUUGCAUCUUGCGAGUCAUACGUAGUGCACAAGUCUUGAGAGUCCAUGGUAGUGCACAGGUUAACCAAAUUAUAUUGCAAUGUGUAUUGGACUGCAUUAGGGAACAUCACCGUUGAUAGAAUUUGUCUCGAUUUGCCUAUGGUUGUAUUCUGUAAUUUUAGAAUAAAUUGUUGUAUAAUAUCCAACCUAUGUUAUCAUAGAUAUCACAUUUGCUUGCUUCUUUCUCCCACAUGUCGUUGGCUAUAUCAAAUUUGUACCACAAGUCCAACUUGCUGCAUCCACCUCCAUUCCUCUGUGCUCUACUCGCCGUGCAUCCCUAACCGAGUCUCUCAGUGGUUUGUGGUCAUAGAUUAAUUCUACUCCCUGCUUCCUUAAUCUUCCAUCUAUUUUCAUGUGCAUAUCAUAGGACAUAUUCAGCUAUCUUAAUAUUUAUUUUAGAUAAGGUUUUCCUUUUACAGAAUUUAUCACUUCCCUAAUGUAUAUGCUUUUGCUAUUUCCAUUUGUGUUCCAUGCAUCAUCCCAAUUUUUUGCAUGCUCUGGUUGAUCAAUUAGGCUAAAGACUGAGACAUUUUCAUCUUUAUUCAGAUUUUGCGGAUGGCAUUUCACAACUGAAGAAACAUUUCCUUUUUUCCACAAUACUUCUUUCCCUAAUGGUAAAGAAAUUUACCGUGAUUAUCAUUGUCUCUACUGUAGGCAAAUUUUUGGAUGAUUUAAUCAUUUAUCACCUUGCUUAUGUAUAUUUUCUUUUUCCUAUGACUUUCCCCUUCUUCAUACUCCUCUUCUCGAUUUAUUUAUCAACUUAAGUUGUUCCAGUUCCCGACUUGCAAGAUACAUCUUCUCAUCACAUUGUUUAGCUUGUGAUUUGGGUUACUAUUUAUAAGUAUCGAUGCUAAAAAUAUAUGCUUGCAGGGAGAUUGGAUGAAUAAUCAUGAAGACUUGCCUACUGAAAGAAUUGUUGCCUCGAGUAUACCAAUUGAAAAUUCUUGUGCGUGUUGCUCGCACCUAGGAAUACAGGGAUCAAGCCACUCAACAACAAUUAUACGAGCUACAUUCUAUUGUCGUUGACCAAGAGAAAAAUUUCUAUCCUAGGCGCUUUCUCCUCUGAUGACGCACAUUGAUCUAUAGUCGCUAUGAUAGCACAUUGACAGGCUGGGAGCACAAGUUUUUCAAAAGGGCCGACUAUCUACGAGAAGUAUCAAGUUUGUUGCACCUUUUUCACUGGAGGCAUAAUGUAUGAAGUUAAGAUGGAAGAACCAUGUAUCAGAUGUUCUGUUUUCUGUUCUUUGUCUGCCAGUGUGUUGGAGACCAUCUUCUUUUGUUUCUGUUAUCUGCACCAUGUAUUGCUAUAUGAAGUUGCAAUUACCCAAUGCAUCAGAGUCUAUC